UCCCAUGUGUCUGCCUGUUCUCUGUGCCAGCUGAGAGACAGCGAUACCAAGCUCCUGGAGCGCUGGUGAGGGUGACAGAGAGGAGGAGAAGAAAAAGAUGAGAGAGGGAGGGAGGGAGAGAGAUGAGUGGAGGAGAAAAAGUAAGGAAAAGAAGCAGAGCAAGGGGAGUGAGGGAAAGAAGAAAGAAAGAGGGACAAAGGUGACAGAAUAGGGAGGAAGAGAGCGAGACAGGAAGGAUGGAGAUGACACGGAGAGACAGAAGCGGUAGAAAAGAAGGAGAGAGUGAGUCAGCGGAGGAGAGGAGGGAGUUUUGAGUGAUAGCGAACAGACUGUAGAUGAAAGCUGAAAGAGGAGUGGGACACUGAGAAGCAUCAGCGCUGUCAGAGCAUGUUCAGCCCUCAGGGACAGCCGGGGACUGGACGUCACAGCUCUGGGUUUUCUACCUGCAGCCCUGGAGUCAGCUGAGAGGUUCAGUCACGGUGUGUGUGUGUGUGUGUGGCCGGCGAGCAGAGCGAGGAGGAAGCUGCUGAAUGCAAACCGCCCUCCAGUGGACACAGCAUGUGCUGCACUCAUGCUGCUCUGUCCCACUUUCCCCUCCUUGCUCCACUGUUUCUCAUUUCACUAACUUUCACUACCGCUGCAGUCAGCUGUCCGCUCGUCUGAGGAGAUAAGUGCACCGCACAGGAAAGUGCCAGAGAUGUUCAACGUAUAUUCACCACUUAAUACCUUAGACUGGUUCUAGGCACCCUGGGAAGUGAAGAAUAAAACAGCUGCUGCAUCAGGAAACAAUUGUCUGACUCUACAAAUGCCUUUGUCUUGGAAGCAGGUGGAAUGAUGGUAAAUGGACUGCACGUAGUAUAUAGCACUUUUCAACCACUCAAAGCUCUUAACAACACUCAUCACAUUCACCCAUUCACUCACACAUGCAUGCAUCACUCCCAUACACACACUCACACACUGAUGGAAUCGGGGGGUAAUUUUUGCCCAAGGACACUUUGUGACUCAGACGGGAAGAGCCGGGGAUCGAACCGCCAACGCUCUGAUUAGUGGACAACCCACCCACAACCUGCUUUUCUAGGAAGCUACUCGGAGGUGCCAGGGCCACCUGGCGAACAGGACUACCACAGGCUGAUAUCUGGAGUUUCAUGACCGUAUUUUCUAGGACCCUAGAUCGCAAAAGCUGCCGUGAAGAGCUAUUCUACCCAAACACUACUUUUGUCCAAGUACAUGUAGUUUUAAUAGUGUAUUCCACCCUACAUUUAAAAAAUAAAAAAGUAAUUAGUUUGCUACCCAUAAUACAUUUAUAAGUGCUGUCUCACCCUUUCAUUGUCGUCCAUCUUCUUACUGAAAUGCGGUUCCAGUGUUCACUUCCUGUGUCGCGAAAAACUAGGUUCCUGGAGAUGUUGUCCUGUUGUCCAUUUAGCAUUUAUAAGCAAUCUAUUAACAAUUACUAAGUGUUUUAAAAUGCACUAUAAUAUCAUUUAAACAGAUACUAAUAUAUUUGUCAGCAACCACUGAGAACAUAAUAAAACUGAAAGUGAACUGUGGAUGAUUUGUACAUGUGUAUAAACAGUAAGUAAAUGCUGUAAGACUGUUCAUGUGUGUGGUCAUGUAUCAUUGUACAUUAUUACAGCUGUUUUAUGCAUAAGUUAAAGAUGUCUCAUAAUACAUUUUACACGAUGAGAAUUACAGCUCUAAAGCAAAUAACAAAAGGUGGGAAAAACUGGAACCUCCCACGUUAAGCAAGUGACUAGCAUCUGUAGAAGACAGAGAUAUAGAUACAGAACGGAAUAAUUAUAGAAUCAGUAAGAACAAAAAGAUGAGCCCUGAAUGAAACGUGAUGAAAGGUAACUGACUGAUUAUAUUUAAAUGAAUGUGAAUGAAACAUCAGGAUCAUGUUUUAAGAGCAUAACAUGUGAAACUGGGUCUACUUCUAUAAUGAAACACCAAUGUCUUUUUCUUCUAUUAUCAUCACUAUUACUUUGUUUUCUAUCGAUUAUGAGUUUUGUUUUUUGUGUUUUCUAGGGACAGAUAUUUAUGUAAAGAUAGUGUGUUUUUAUAUUUCCUGAAAUAUAAAAAAAGAACUUAAAUGGGAACAAGUGGAAUUAGCAUAAUUAUUUUUGGUGUUUUUUUCUUUAAUGCCAAAUCUGAGACUGUGUGACUCAUUUAGACGUUUUGCAACAUUUUUACUGAACAAUGUCGACUGUCAGAUGCAUAGUACAGUAAAGCACAUGUAUUUGACACAUGAAUAGGACUGUGUCCAUACUCACAGUUGUCCAGCUGCAUCUGCAUGCGCAGCCUCUGUUUGGUUUUGAGUCUUAUCUCUGAAAUGAGUCACUUUAUGAGUCUUCGGUGAGUGUUUGACUGCUAAAUAAAUGUCUCAUGACCGAAGGAACAAUA